UACGGAGGGAGCUAGCGUUGUUCGGAAUUACUGGGCGUAAAGCGCACGUAGGCGGCUUUUCAAGUCAGGGGUGAAAGCCCGGGGCUCAACCCCGGAAUAGCCCUUGAAACUGGAAGGCUAGAAUCACGGAGAGGUGGGUGGAAUUCCGAGUGUAGAGGUGAAAUUCGUAGAUAUUCGGAAGAACACCAGUGGCGAAGGCGGCCCACUGGACGUGUAUUGACGCUGAGGUGCGAAAGCGUGGGGAGCAAACAGG
rnacentral:rRNA from 1 species